GACGAACGCUGGCGGCGUGCUUAAUACAUGCAAGUCGAACGGAAAGGCGCUGCUCUUGUGGGGUGCUCGAGUGGCGAACGGGUGAGUAACACGUGAGUAACCUGCCCUUGACUUUGGGAUAACUCCAGGAAACUGGGGCUAAUACCCGAUAGGAGAUCCUGCUGCAUGGUGGGGGUUGGAAAGUUUCGGCGGUUGUGGAUGGUCUCGCGGCUUAUCAGCUUGUUGGUGGAGUAGUGGCUUACCAAGGCUUUGACGGGUAGCCCGCCUGAGAGGUUGACCGGCGACAAGGGGCCUACGAGAGGCACCAGAAUCCAACGGGAGGCAGUGGGGGGAAGUUUUGCACAAUGGGCGGGAGCCUGAUGCAGAAACGCUGCGUUCGGAAUACCGGCCUUCGAGUUGUGAACAACUUUCGCAUGUAAUAAGGCGUGAGUGACGGUAAUGGGUAAAGAAGCACCGGCUAACUACGUG
rnacentral:rRNA from 1 species